rnacentral:lncRNA from 1 species
CCCGCACCAAGUCAGAUGGCUUGGCGUUAUUACUACGAGAGACAUGGCUGGUCUCAAAGUGAAACUGAGAACGAGAAGUCCAGGUUGCUGCAGUGUAACUUGCCCAUGUGUGAGGAGAAUGUCGAUGAAGUUCUUGAACUUCUGUCAGCCCUCAGUGAUGAUCAGAGUCCUCACCUCGGGGCAGCUCUUGGCAACACACCUGGCCGAUCUCCCUGUGGAGCGGAGCCUGCACUCCGACGACGGCAUUUCAACAUUAGCACCCAGCCCGUUGACGUGAGCUGUCUAUACAGUUGGAAUAAAGGCAGCUCAAGCAUGACAGAUCAGGGACCCAAAACUGAGGCAAAAGUAGCUGAGACUGUUCGUGGUAGUAUCCCAGCUACCAACACACGUCACGUUUCUACAGACAAAGAGGAAGGCCGUCCACAUAGAAAACGCUGGGAGAAGCCGGAGGGUGUUUUUGCCAGAGUGGCUCCAUUUUAUUCCCAGGAGUCCCGAAGGCCUGGAGAGAGGAGGGUCUGUUUUGGCAGGGAUCAGAUAGAUGCUAGUGGGGAGGUAUGUGAGAGCCAGAGACACUUGAAACAGAGGGAGACCCUCUCCACAUUUGAGGAUCUUCUGGAGUCCUCCUGGACAUCGGCAGCCUUACACAGAUCAAUGCUGGACCUGGAGAAUAAUGAACAAGAGGGCUGUUCCACCUUCAGCAGAAUAGAGUCCAUACUCCAGAAAUCACUUAGGCAUUCUGAUUGUGACUCUAAGACCCAGCCGUCAUUUCGAGAAGUUGAUUAUCAUUCAGAGCCAAAUUUAAGCCUAUUUCCUGUUAAAAAGUCGUCAAAAAGCUUGGGGAUAUUAGGGAGUCAGGCACAAGAUAGGGGCAGAGCCCUGAAAUCUGCCUUUGGUCCCAGACUCAGGUCACCUCAGGAAGAGCGCUGCCUGCAAGAGGCCUUUUCUCAGCCCGGUCUUAGGCCGACAAUGUCAGCCUCUGAGAGAGACUUAAAAUGUCGCUCCUCAGAACCAUCUCCUCUUCUUCCCUCUGGUGACAGAGAAUGGUGUGAGGACUGUGGACUAGCAGUGGCUGAGCCUGUGGCGGCAGGAGAGACGCUCGUGCCAAGUGAUCCGUCAUGGAUCGAGAAACUUGAAAUGAAGGAGAAACACUCGGGCCAAACAAAUCUGAAGGUGAAGGAAGGCUGGAAGUCCACUCAGGGACCACUGGAGCGAAACCACGGAGAUAAGGUCUCGCAUUCCUUCAACGGCCAAUCACGCCUGGGCAUCAGCGGGCCAUUUGAGGAUGCCACUCCCUUUGACGGAUGGCGUCUCUCCUCAAAGCAGAUGAAGUCACUUAGUAAAACUCAUUCAGCCAGAGGACAAAGCAGUAAAGUCAAACCUGAUCGCCUCUCUAGGACGGGGCUGAAAGACGCGUUGAAAGCGGAGCCACUGUCUACACAACCGCAGUCCUGUCGGCUUCCUGAAGGCGGAGAGAUUUACGGUCCCGGAGAGGCGGUUGGGACAGACGAGAGGUUCCAGGCGCUGUACAGGUUCCGUCUGCUGCAGCGCUGUUUCAGACGUUGGGCUGGGCAGCACAGGUGCCUGGGCAUCGCCCGCCAGUGGCACCGCUGGAGGGUCCUCUCGUCUGCCCUCGGUGCCCUGGAACAGGCAGCGGAGAAGCGCCACACGCAGACACACACACUACAGCACAGACACAGAGCUCUGACGCUCACACGAGCCUUCCAGCAUUGGAAGGCUCGAGUGGCAGGCAGGCAAGGCCAGAGGUCCAGCCGGAGCACAGAGCAUGAUGGGCCAGUGGAGGACCUGCGGAGGAGGCUCAUCCAACCCAGUAGCGCACUGGUGCUGCGCAGGGCAUACUGCACCUGGAGGAGACACUCACAGGGCCAGGAGCUCCUCAGGGCAGCACUCAUACACUACCACCUUGCCCUGCUGUUUAAGCACUGGUUGCAGUGGAGGCGUGAGUGUGUGUGGCAGAGGCGGCAGGCGGAGCAGGAGGAGCAGGCCGCCCAGGUGUGGGGUCUCACACUCCAGACGCACACCUUCACCGUCUGGAGGACAGCCAGCUCCAGACACCAGCGGGCCCGGCAGCACUGGGGACGCCGGCUGGCCAAACGAGCUCUCGCUGCCUGGAGGUCAGCCUACCAGAGACAGCAGCAGGCCACGGUGCAGCACAGGCUGUCUGCAUUAGUCAGGGCGUGGCGUGUGUGGGUGGAGCGUUUGGAGCUGAGGAGGCGUGGUCGUUUGGUGGAGGCGAUGGAGAGCGCUGAGGUGCACAGGAGGAGUGUGCUCCAACACUGCCUCCUAGUGUGGCGGAGGAGAACUGCCAGACGACACACCAGCAGAGAGAGAGAGGAUCUUACAGCCAGGAAGGUGCUGGAGCACUGGCGACGGCUUCCCCAUCAGCGCUCUCUGCUCAGACUGGCCUGCAGCCUGCAGCAGCUCUUCUCCAGGAGGACACUAGAAGUGGCGUUUGGGAGGUGGCGUGCAGCGAGAGCUCAGG